UGACGGCGUCAGGGAAAGUCCGGUGAAACUCCGGCACUGUCGCGCAACGGUUACGCCCCCUGGGGCAGAAAGUCCGAAUGCCUGCCCGUCG
rnacentral:ncRNA from 2 species